rnacentral:rRNA from 1 species
CGCCUGUUUAUCAAAAACAUGUCUUUUCGUUAAUUAUUUAAGGUUUGGCCUGCUCCAUGACUAAGUUAAAUAGCCGCAGUAUUUUGACUGUGCAAAGGUAGCAUAAUCAUUAGUUUUUUAAUUGAAAGCUGGAAUGAAGGGUCGGAUGAGAAAGAAUCUGUCUCAUUCUAAUUUAUUUGAAUUUUAUUUUUAAGUUAAAAAGCUUAAAUUUUAUAGAAAGACGAGAAGACCCUAUAGAGUUUAAUAAGUUAAGAUUUGAUUAUCUGAGGAUUUUAAUGUAAUUAUUUUUUGACUUGUUUUGUUGGGGUGACAUUAGAAUUGGAUAAACUUCUUAAUAUUUAAACAUUGAUUUAUGAGCUAAUGAUCCUGAUUUUUGGAUUUAAAGAUUAAAUUACCUUAGGGAUAACAGCGUAAUCUUUUUGGAGAGUUCUAAUCGAUAAAAGGGAUUGCGACCUCGAUGUUGGAUUAAAGUUAAGUUUCGGUGUAGGAGCUGAAAUUUUGAGACUGUUCGACUUUUAAAACUUUACGUGAUCUGAGUUUACACCGG